ACUCUCCGGCAGUUAUCCCGUUCUACACGCCGAUGUCCCCUAGGUGGGCACCGAGGUAACGGAGCGGAAAAGCAGGAGGAGAGGCGUGGUGCCCGCUGUCUAGAAGCGGAUGCGAGGCCCCCUGAGCCCGCAGUUGACGGCGGUGCCCUCGUUCCCGCCCUGCUCGCCGCCUCUCCCGGCGCCGCUCUUCCCACGGCCGGUGGCCGAGGCCGCGCCGAUGAACCCGGCUCAGGAGGCAAGUCUCUAACUGAAGACAAGGGUUUGAUAGACUACGGACAUUGGUUUGUACAUUCAGAUCAGUUCCAGCUGACCCCUAAGAUAUGUCAGUAAUUGGUUUAAUCUAGAGAGACAUUCUGUAUUGCUUCUUGCUUUAACUAGUGCAGAACAGACUGAGGGCGAGGAAGACAAGAAGGAGCCCAUCCCAGAAGCAAUUGCAUGCAUCCAGGACUUGCAUCUUCUAGGUCCCAUGUUGUCCAGCUAGAGCUGAGAGGGAGUGGACAUGGCUCCAGGCACAGCACGAGAGCCUCAGAGUGGGCCUGGCCCUGGUGAUUCACAUCUGGGGGAGGGUGUGAUGUCACAGCUGGGUUCACAUCAUACCAGGAACAUGUCCUGUGCCCAGCACUGUUUGGGUGUGUUGCACCCCAACCUUGAGUCUUUUGCCUGGCUGCUGACAUGGAGCUGAGGACCAAUAGACACCUUCUGGGCAGAAUAUUUCUGUAGAAGUGCCCCAGAUACAUCCUUCAACGGCAGACUUGUCCACCCAGACGACCUGUCCCUGGGAGAGGUGUAGGCUGGAAGAGCUGCACAGUCCCUGCUUCCACAUUGUCGUCACAUUGCGGGAAGCUGGGGAGGAUUUCCCUGGUAGCUCUGGCUUCCCCCUCCCAGCAGCCCUGGGAUCUAUUUGCUUUCCUUUAACAAAGACUUCGCCUGCUUGCUGCCUGUGUGUUCCUGGAGUUCAUUUCUUUGACUGCCCUGAUCAGGAACCCGGAUUCCCAUAUCAUCUUUCUGGUGGUAUCUUUUGGGGACUAGUCUGGGAUCCAAUCCAAUACAUCUGCACUCAUAAGAACGUCUGAGUCCCUGCCAGAUCUCCAGCAACAGAUUCAUGGGAUGUCUGAUCCAGCUCGCCCUCUGGAACUAGUUGACCUCUUCCUCCUGGUGGAAAUAUUUCAUCACCAUAGCCAUCAUCAUGAUCUUUAAUCCUUUUAUUUGGACCCUAUAUAAUUAAUUGUAUUUCUCACUUCAUUACAUCCCAGUUAAAAACUAUGGACCUGGAGUUCCCGUCGUGGCUCAGGGGUUAACGAAUCCGACUAGGAACCAUGAGGUUGCAGGUUCAACCCCUGGCCUUGCCCAGUGGGUUAAGGAUCUGCCAUUGCUGUGAGCUGUGGUGUAGGCCACAGACAUGGCUCAGAUCCCACGUUGCUGUGGCUCUGGUAUAGGCUGGUGGCUAUAGCUCUGAUUUGACGCCCUAGCCUGGGAACCUCCAUAUGCCGUGGGAGCAGCCCUAGAAAAGGAAAAAAGACACCCCCCCCCCAAAAAAAAAAAAAAAAAACUUAAUUGAGCUAUAUAGUCAGUUUGCCUUGAACUAACAUACCUAAAAUGUAUGGCUUGGUAAAUUUUAAUCUGCCUAAGCCCAUGGAAUGAUCAUCAUAACAUUCAUCACUCCUCUAUCUUUUGACAUUUCUCCCUAGGCCCCCAGGCUCUGCCACUUUUUCACCUUCAGUUAGUGUUUUCUAGACUUCUUUUUCCUGAAAAUAAUACUCUGUGAACAUGUACAGAAAAUUCUUUAUAUGAACAUAUGACUUUAAAAUGAAAGCUCUUUUUACAUCCC
rnacentral:lncRNA from 1 species